UUAGCGGCGGACGGCUGAGUAACGCGUAGGAAUCUCCUCUAAGUGGAGCAUAGCCAGUUGAAAGAUUGGGUAAUUCUCCAUGUGACCGUAAGGUUAAAGAAGCAAUUCGCUUAGAGCGGAGCCUGCGUCCCAUCAGCUUGUUGGUAGGGUAAUGGCCUACCAAGGCGGAGACGGGUAGCUGGUCUGAGAGGACGAUCAGCCAGACUGGGACUGCGACACGGCCCAGACAUCUACGGAUGGCAGCAAUUAGGAAUCUUCGGCAAUGGGCGAAAGCCUGACCGAGCCAUGCCGCGUGCAGGACGACGGCCUUCGGGUUGUACACUGCUGUGGUAGUCUACUAAUUUUGAAGAGACUACUAGAAAGAGGUUGCUAAACUCUGUGCCAGCAGCAGCGGUGAUACAGAGACCUCAAACAUUAUUCCGGAAUUAUUGGGCGUAAAGCGUGCCGAUCGGCUGUUUGGUGUGUCUAGGGUGAAAGACCGGAGCUUUAACUCCGUGUUUGCUCUAGAAACUACCAAAUUUGAAGGGCAAAGGGGUGGCUGGAACUCCU
rnacentral:rRNA from 1 species